GCCGAACUCAGAAGUGAAACGCCGUAACGCCGAUGGUAGUGUGGGGCUUCCCCAUGUGAGAGUAGGUCACCGCCAGGU
rnacentral:rRNA from 1 species